rnacentral:rRNA from 1 species
AGGGGAAACGACAUCGAAAGCUUGCUUUUGAUGGGCGUCGACCGGCGCACGGGUGAGUAACGCGUAUCCAACCUGCCCACCACUUGGGGAUAACCUUGCGAAAGUAAGACUAAUACCCAAUGAUAUCCCACGAAGGCAUCGGAAUGGGAUUAAAGAUUUAUCGGUGAUGGAUGGGCAUGCGUUGUAUUAGCUAGUUGGUGGGGUAACGGCUCACCAAGGCGACGAUCAGUAGGGGUUCUGAGAGGAAGGUCCCCACAUUGGAACUGAGACACGGUCCAAACUCC